UUGGUAGUCUCAGAGAGUUUGAUCCUGGCUUAGGAUGAACGCUGGCGGCGUGCCUAACACAUGCAAGUCGAACGGGAACUCCAAGAUGAGACUUCGGUGGAUUUUGGAAAUUCUAGUGGCGGACGGGUGAGUAACGCGUGGGUAACCUGCCCUUAAGAGGUGAAUAACAACGAGAAAUCGGUGCUAAUACACCAUAUGCUUACGAAGUCGCAUGACUUUGUGAGGAAAGAAUUUCGCUUAAGGAUGGACCCGCGUUUGAUUAGCCAGUUGGCAGGGUAACGGCCUACCAAAGCAACGAUCAAUAGCCGGCCUGAGAGGGUGAACGGCCACAUUGGAACUGAGACACGGUCCAAACUCCUACGGGAGGCAGCAGUGGGGAGUAUUGCACAAUGGGCGCAAGCCUGAAUGCAGCAACGCCGCGUGAGUGAAGAAGUAUUUCGGUAUGUAAAGCUCUAUCGAUGGGGAAUAAAAUGAAGGUACCCAAGUAAGAAGCCCCGGCUAACUACGUGCCAGCCGCUGC
rnacentral:rRNA from 1 species